CCAAGGCUAAAUACUCCCUAGUGACCGAUAGUGAACCAGUACCGUGAGGGAAAGGUGAAAAGCACCCCGGGAGGGGAGUGAAAGAGAACCUGAAACCGUGUGCCUACAAGUAGUCGGAGCCCGUUAACGGGUGACGGCGUGCCUUUUGUAGAAUGAACCGGCGAGUUACGAUCCCGUGCAAGGUUAAGCCGAAGAGGCGGAGCCGCAGCGAAAGCGAGUCUGAACAGGGCGAAUGAGUACGUGGUCGUAGACCCGAAACCGAGUGAUCUACCCAUGUCCAGGGUGAAGUCCAGGUAACACUGGAUGGAGGCCCGAACCCACGCGUGUUGAAAAACGCGGGGAUGAGGUGUGGGUAGGGGUGAAAUGCCAAUCGAACUCGGAGAUAGCUGGUUCUCCCCGAAAUAGCUUUAGGGCUAGCCUCAAGUGUUAGAGUCCUGGAGGUAGAGCACUGAUUGGACUAGGGGCCCUCACCGGGUUACCGAAUUCAGUCAAACUCCGAAUGCCAGAGACUUAUCCUUGGGAGUCAGACUGCGAGUGAUAAGAUCCGUAGUCGAAAGGGAAACAGCCCAGACCGCCAGCUAAGGUCCCAAAGUAUACGUUAAGUGGAAAAGGAUGUGGAGUUGCACAGACAACCAGGAUGUUGGCUUAGAAGCAGCCACCAUUUAAAGAGUGCGUAAUAGCUCACUGGUCGAGUGACUCUGCGCCGAAAAUGUACCGGGGCUAAACGUAUCACCGAAGCUGCGGAUUGACACCGAUGGUGUCAGUGGUAGGGGAGCGUUCUAAGGGCUGAGAAGCAGGACCGGAAGGACCUGUGGAGCGCUUAGAAGUGAGAAUGCCGGUAUGAGUAGCGAAAAGACAAGUGAGAAUCUUGUCCACCGAAAGCCUAAGGUUUCCUGAGGAAGGCUCGUCCGCUCAGGGUUAGUCGGGACCUAAGCCGAGGCCGAAAGGCGUAGGCGAUGGACAACAGGUUGAUAUUCCUGUACCACCUCCUCACCGUUUGAGCAAUGGGGGGACGCAGGAAGGUAGGGUAAGCGCGCUGUCGGAUAUGCGCGUCCAAGCAGUGAGGCCGAUGGAUAGGCAAAUCCGUCCAUCAUGCGGCUGAGCUGUGACGGCGAGGGAAAUAGAGUACCGAAGUUCCCGAUCCUACACUGCCAAGAAAAGCCUCUAGCGAGGUGAGAGGUGCCCGUACCGCAAACCGACACAGGUAGGCGAGGAGAGAAUCCUAAGGUGCUCGGGAGAACUCUCGUUAAGGAACUCGGCAAAAUGACCCCGUAACUUCGGGAGAAGGGGUGCUCCUGCGGGUGCAAGCCUGCGGGAGCCGCAGUGAAAAGGCCCAAGCGACUGUUUAGCAAAAACACAGGUCUCUGCGAAGCCGUAAGGCGAAGUAUAGGGGCUGACACCUGCCCGGUGCUGGAAGGUUAAGAGGAGGGGUUAUCCUUAUGGAGAAGCUCUGAAUCGAAGCCCCAGUAAACGGCGGCCGUAACUAUAACGGUCCUAAGGUAGCGAAAUUCCUUGUCGGGUAAGUUCCGACCCGCACGAAAGGUGCAACGACUUGGGCACUGUCUCAACGAGAGACCCGGUGAAAUUAUACUAUGCGUGAAGAUGCGCAUUACCCGCGACAGGACGGAAAGACCCCGUGGAGCUUUACUGCAGCCUGAUAUUGAAUUUUGGUACAGCUUGUACAGGAUAGGCAGGAGCCUUGGAAGCCGGAGCGCCAGCUUCGGUGGAGGCGCUGGUGGGAUACUGCCCUGGCUGUAUUGAAAUUCUAACCCAGGACCGUGAUCCGGUUCGGAGACAGUGUCAGGCAGGCAGUUUGACUGGGGCGGUCGCCUCCUAAAGAGUAACGGAGGCGCCCAAAGGUUCCCUCAGAAUGGUUGGAAAUCAUUCGCAGAGUGUAAAGGCACAAGGGAGCUUGACUGCGAGACCUACAAGUCGAGCAGGGACGAAAGUCGGGCUUAGUGAUCCGGUGGUUCCGCAUGGAAGGGCCAUCGCUCAACGGAUAAAAGCUACCCCGGGGAUAACAGGCUUAUCUCCCCCAAGAGUCCACAUCGACGGGGAGGUUUGGCACCUCGAUGUCGGCUCAUCGCAUCCUGGGGCUGUAGUCGGUCCCAAGGGUUGGGCUGUUCGCCCAUUAAAGCGGUACGCGAGCUGGGUUCAGAACGUCGUGAGACAGUUCGGUCCCUAUCCGUCGCGGGCGCAGGAAAUUUGAGAGGAGCUGUCCUUAGUACGAGAGGACCGGGAUGGACACACCGCUGGUGUACCAGUUGUCUUGCCAAAGGCAUCGCUGGGUAGCUACGUGUGGAAGGGAUAAGUGCUGAAAGCAUCUAAGCAUGAAGCCCCCCUCAAGAUGAGAUUUCCCACAGCGUCAGGCUGGU
rnacentral:rRNA from 1 species